GAGAGGGGGUGACUAGUGACAGAGUGGGUGACUAGUGACAGAGUGAGAGAGGGGGUGACUAGUGACAGAGUGAGGGAGGGAGUGGGUGACUAGUGAGAGUGAGGAAGGGGUUGACACAGUGAAAGAGUGAGGAAGGGGGUGACACAGUGAGGAAGGGGGUGACACAGUGACAGAGUGAGGGAGGGGGUGACUAGUGACAGAGUGAAGGAGGUGGUGACUGUCACUAGUCACCCCAUCCCUACCUCUGUCACUAAUCACCACCUCCCUCACUCUGUCUCACCCCAUCCCUCCCUCUGUCACUAAUCACCACCUCCCUCACUCUGUCACUAGUCACCCCUUCCCUCCCUCACUCUGUCACUAGUCACCCCUUCCCUCCCUCACUCUGUCACUAGUCACCCCCUCCCUCUCUCUGUCACUAGUCACCCCACCCUCUCUCUGUCACUAGUCACACCCUCUCUCA